UCCGGCGAGCUGCCGGCUGUUGGACUCGCGUUCCAGCCGAAGAAACUGAGGCUCGGAGACGCGAAGGCGUUUUCCUAAAGUCACCAGCUAGUGGGUGGGAGCCAGCUUGGAAGCAGCACCCACCCCCCACCCACACACAUUAACUGCCAGUCCUUCAGAAUUACUCUCCUAGAUCUUCCCUGAGGGCCGCUGUUCAUACCUUCACUCACAUCACACGAAUGUCCGUGCCAGACAUCACGGCAGACACCUAGGAUAAAGGCAAGAGGCACAUGGGACCUUCUGUCUUGGAGCUAGUGAGGGAGACUGACCAGAGGUGCGCUGUCUGUGCUCUCCCUGCUUGAAUCCGAGUGGGCUUAUGUGUGGUAGAAGCAACGCUGUGAAACUUCCAGGCGAGGUCAAAGGAGGCAAAGGCAGCUUCCGCCUCAUUGGCUGGAACACUCCUGCUGGAGCCCUGAGCCACCGUGGAAGGAGUCUGGUGGCUGCCAUGAUGUGAGGAAGCCCAGAUGCAGUCAGCGCUGGGUUCUGAGCAGUCGUCCUCCAAAGCAUCAUUCAAAUGGGUCCUCUCUUUCCUGGAUGCAUUGUCAUUCUCUUGGACAAAAGAUUUAUUCACAAGUGUUGGGCGACACUCAGGAUGUUGGGGCAAGUGCUGGAAAUGUAGCAGUGGAUCAAAUAAACCCAGUGUCUGCCCUCCUGGAGCAACUAUUCUGAGGGCUGAUUUGAUUACCAGACACACAGGUGGCACUUACUAUGUGCCAGGCACUGUCAUCAGCACAGGGACUCAGUCCUCUAACAAUACCGUGAGGCAGGCACCAUUCUUUUGUUAAUAUUUUUAUGAUUAUCAUAAUUAUCAUCAUUUUAUCGUUUGGAGAAGAUGAAUUAGGGAGGGAUUAAAUAAAAUCCCAAACUCCCCCAGCUGUCACAUGGCAGAAAUGGGAUUGGAACCUGCAGAAUUUUGACUUAGAGCAUCUGCUCUAAUCCUUCAAUUAUGCCUCCUGUCUAAUGGAAAAGAGAGGUGGAGGCUACUGCUAUGGAAAAGAAGGUUUUAGGCAUCAAGGUGGGAGAUGCACGGAGGACUGUGGGGACGCAGAGAAGAGGGCUGCGAAUGAGUGGGUCAUGGAAGGCUUCCUGGAGAAGGUGUUCCUAAAGCAGGAUCCAGAGGAAUAAGUUGGGGUUCACCAGGCAGAGUUUUCAAAGCCAGAGGGAGCAAAGCCUGUGGAAGUCUGAAGGCCCUGAUGAAUGGAGCAUCAGAGGGAAUGGAAGUAGGGAGGGCUGCAGAAAUGAGACCCAACAGGUCAUCUGGGGACACAGGGCAUAUGAAUAAGUUUGGGCUUUAUCAUAAAGGGAAGCAGGGUGUCACACGAUCAGGUUUAUGUUACAGAAGGCUGAUGGCAGCAGUGACAGGGAAUUGAGGGAAGGGGACAGCACACGGAGGCAGAAGGUGUCAACAGAUAGGCAGGGCAGGAAGGCCCAGCCCACGCCACGGUGCUAACAGACAGCAAGCAGAAAAGUGGACAGAUUUGAGAGCUGGUUUGAAAGCAGCAUAGACAGCACGAUGCAUCCCCAUGGACAAGAUUCUGUCCUGGAGACACUGUGACUGGUGAGGACAACACAGAGACAGGACAGGGAGAAGCAGGUUUGAGGGUGCUGUGUCUGUAGCUCACUGAAGGGCCAGUUGAAUGAGUGUGCCGGGCACUCAGGAGGGAGAGUGUGGGCUUUGGAGGGUGAAGGUCUCCACAGCUACAGGCAGGCAGUCCUCCAAACCAGGGCACGGCUGAGAUGUUAGGGAGGCUGAGAAGGCUGAGUGGGGACUGCCUAGCACAGAGCCCCAACUCAGCACCGUUGGAGGAACCAACCAGAGAGGAAGAAGCAGCCAGAGGCGACUGUAAAAGACUAGCUGGGGUGGAGAGGAGGUUUCUCAAAGAGCUAGAGAAGGUGCAAAGAGGAAACCCUUGGUGGCUCAGUGGUUGAGCAUCUGCCUUUGGCUCAGGUUGUGAUCCCCGGGUCCUGGGAUUGAGUCUCACAUCAGGCUUGCUGCAGGGAGCCUGCUUCUCCCUCUGCCUAUGUCUCUGCCUCUCUCUCUCUCUGUGUGUCUCUCAUGAAUAAAUAAAUAAAAUCUUUAAAAAUAAAUAAAAAAGAAGGAGCAAGGGUUUGCAGGGUCAGAGCUUGCAGGGGAAGCAAGGACUGAAAAAGAUCCAAAGUCAUCAACCCAAGCAUCCAAAGAUCUUUACAGCAUGGCUCCAGAUCACCUUUCCAGCCUCCACGUUUCCCAAAUCCCCUGUGCCCAUAUCACAAAAAAUUAAUGGGUUGCCACCAAUAUUUACAAAAUGGAAUUAGACCAGAAAAUAACAGCAGACAUUGUACAUAAUAAGGGUCCAAUUGUGUGGUAUAUACUGUGGGUUGUAAUAAAAACAAACUUGAGACCGUUCCUCCAUCCUGUUAUUCCUUUUCAUAUGUCUGGGAUGCCUUUCUCUUCUUUUCCACCUGGCUAGCUCCUCUCAUC